rnacentral:lncRNA from 1 species
UCUUCACCAUCCAUCGUUGCAAGCAUUAAGGCCCCACCAUCAAAAACCUUGGUGACGAUAUACGGUCCCUCAUAGUUAGGAGUCCACUUGCCCCUGUGAUCUGUCUGAGGAGGAAGGAUCCUUUUCAACACUAAAUCUCCGACUUGGAAACAACGAGGACGCACUUUCUGAUCAAAGGCUCUCUUCAUCCGACUCUGAUACAACUGCCCAUGACAAAU